AUCACGCAGAAGGUGGAGGCGGAUGUUUUGCAGGACACUGGAAGGACAAGGACACCAAUCAACUUCAAGCUAAUCAAUAACUUUAGCGUACAAAGUGAACGCCCUGAUGACAGGGAAGGACUCACAGAACCCGACGCCGCCCCGGCCAUGAACGUGAUGGUGAGAGUGGCCUCCCCAGUUUUAUACCACUCAGUCAGAAAGCUCUUGCCCCUCUCGUAGUUGUACCAGUACAUGGCUGAGAAGGGCACAUCCCGGAGCAGAGUGGGGCCCAAGCCCCUCCACAGAGACAGCCAGCCCUCCGUCUCCAUCGCUGAGCGGAUGCAGGCGCUGAGCUCUCUGUACGACUGUCUCUGGGACUGCAGCUUGGUGCGAAUGAGCUCCAGGGGGCUGAUCAUCGUUGCAGACCCCACUGAAAAGGAGACGAGGUGUUAGACACAUAUUUAUAUAAUGCUUUACAGGCUUUCAAAUAAAUCAAAAAAUGUAUAGAAAUAUGGUACUUUAAAAAACAAAAUAAAAA